rnacentral:lncRNA from 1 species
CUAUUACUUAAAUUAUUCCAGACCAUAGAAAAGAGUAAUAGUUCCCAAAUUCAUAUUCUAAUUUAGCACAAAUAAGUGUUAGAAUAACUACUUUCAAAAGUGAUAAUGCAUAUUAUGUUAAAUAUACACAUGUUCUAAGAAUCAGAAAGCUGAAACACUGGAAGGAAAUGUUUCAUUAAGUAGCUACCCAGUACAUUUGCCAAUAGCCAACCAAAUUUACCUCACGCACACACACAAAUCAACAUACUAAAAGUAAGGAUUUCCAAACAUAUUUCCAC